GAUGAACGCUAGCGGCAGGCUUAAUACAUGCAAGUCGAGGGGCAGCAGGGUGUAGCAAUACAUCGCUGGCGACCGGCAAACGGGUGCGGAACACGUACACAACUUUCCUUUAAGUGGGGAUAGCCCAGAGAAAUUUGGAUUAAUACCCCGUAAUAUUAUGAAGUGGCAUCAUUUUAUAAUUAUAGCUCCGGCGCUUGAAGAUGGGUGUGCGGCUGAGUUAGGAGGUUUGGCGGGGUAACGGCCCACCAAGCCUAGAUCAGUAACUGGUGUGAGAGCACGACCAGU
rnacentral:rRNA from 1 species